GCCUGGAGCACCGCUUCACGAGGAAGUAAAUCUUCAUUACCGACGAGACGAGCGGCGAGGCGGCACCGCGGCUCCAGGCGGGGCGGCGGCUCCUCCGACACCCGCGUCAUGCCCUUCAGCUUCCAGCAGCAGACGAGCGGCUGAACAGACACUCCCCGGGAUGUCUGAACGACAGCCAGGCUGGACUGAAUGAUCCAGCAGUUGCUGCAGUUACACUGGGACUUUCCAAAUACAGCAAAACAUACUCGCCACCUUCCUCUUGGCCACCCUGACUGUUGUACAAUUCCAUGUAGGUAAAUUCUUUACGUACGUAACUACCUCUUCCAUAUUAUUUGUGACAUUCACAAGAGCAAACAACUGGUAUCUGCCAAUGCCCAGUCUACUGGUUGUGUUCAUGUUUCUGCUGUUCUUCCAGCUUGUCCAUGCUAGAUUUAGAUCAGAUAUCAGACAAUUUUAAGCUCAGUUAUCCCAGCUCUGUCAUCUACGUAGUUUUCUUCCUAAUCUUUGUACUCCAUCAGGUUUUCUGUUUCAUUUGUUUACUGCCACUGAUCAUGGGUAUAUUUCCAGGAACAUUAGUCAGUUUGCCAUUUGCUUUUCUUAUAUUUCCUCCAGUCACAUUAAUUAGAAAUUCUGAUUAUACAAAUUGAUUUAAUAAGCCAUUUCCCUGAGCAUAGGGAUAGUGGAGUGUUGCUACUUAUGUGACAAAAAUUGGUAAGGAAUAUAUGAGUAGGUCUAAGAUUAACAAAAAAAAAAAAGGUCAGUGGCUCUGGAGAAGAACUGGAACAAUUAUAAAAUAAAACAAGAUUAAUUAUCCCAUCAGUAUAUUAAUGAAUAACAAAUGCAUUAGUAA